CCUACGGGAGGCAGCAGUAGGGAAUAUUGCACAAUGGAGGAAACUCUGAUGCAGCCAUGCCGCGUGUGUGAAGAGGGCCUUCGGGUUGUAAAGCACUUUCGGAGGGGAGGAAGAAAAUGACGUUACCCUCAGAAGAAGCACCGGCUAACUCCGUGC
rnacentral:rRNA from 1 species